rnacentral:rRNA from 1 species
AUGUCUAGGGUUCGUGGCGUGGAAGGACGCAUAUGACGGCGAUACUGGCGCAGCAUCUAAUGUGAGCCGUUUCCGAAGUUGGCUACUCCCUCAACUUAAGCAUAUCAAUAGGGGACGGAGAAGAAACAAACAUGGAUUCCCCUAGUAGUGGCGAAUGAAGCGGGAGCUGUCCGGAUGGCAAGCCGGUAGGCGUUGUAGACAGAUGUAACGAAGUGGCAUGGAAGUGCACACGACACAGGGUGAGAGUCCCGUCGUACCUAUAGUAGGAGAGAGUAACGCUGCUUGGUACUGCAGCGCGAAGGGGUGGUUGGACCAUCCAAGACUAAAUAUACGCGAACACCGAUAGUGGACAAGUACUGCGAAGGAAAGACGACAGCUCAUGAGGGCUGAUGAUUGAAAUCAGGAGCACGGAAGGCAAUUGAUUGCACCCGUCUUGAAACACGGACC